UUUAGAUCUAUUUUUAAUGCUAGCAAAUGUGAAAUGCUUCAGGGUUAUCCGGAUAACUUUCUCUAGGGAAGAUCGCUUGUUUGAGUCUUGCUUAUGACAAAACGUCAUGCGCACGCUAGGGAUUUUACAGCAGUGGUCUUUGGGCGGUGGAUUUCCCCUAUAAUUGGUGUGAUCGCGGAAGUGGGUGACCUUUUGCCUAUAAGUGUAUCCGGGUAGAGGUGUACAAACUGUUUUUUUUUUUUUUUUUUCUUUCAAACCGGUUCGGUUUUCAGUUGAUUUUUUUUUUGGGACAAACCGGUUUUUUAAACCGAAAACCAGUUUCCAGGAUUCAAACCCCAAACUAGUAAAACCGAUUUCGGUUUGGUUUAUAAACCGGUUUUGGACAAAAAAAAAACCGGUUUCAAACAUCGAGAAUUCGAACCAAUUACAAACCGCCAAGUCAGUUCGAUUUGAAACCCGGUUAAAAAAAAAAAAAAGAAAAAACGUUUUUUUAAACCGGUUCCGUUUUUUUUUCCGAUUUCGAUUCUAAAACCGGUUUUUUGCUCCUUUCUAUAUCCGUGUGGCCGGGCCGGGCUUUGUUAGUCGUUAAAAAAAAUCGUAUAUUUUCAAUCCUAAUUGUGUGAAGAAGACGUGUUCAAAAUUCAAUCGUAUAGAAGAUGAAUAACAAGUUAACAACACUCCAUUGUAAGAAAUCUACAAGUUAAACGCCAAAUCAAACUAUCUAGCUAGCUAGCCACCAAUAAAUUCAACGCGUUUAUUAUUAUUAUUAUUUGAAUUAAAAGAAAUAAAUCAAUAAAUUACAGGUUUAUCUGAAUUAGCGUCCCAAACACCACCUUCCUUAAGGUACUGCAUGUACCUUGAAAACUCCGGUUUGGCGGUGGCUUUCUUCUUGCGGCUUUUUCGCUCGAAUAAGCUGAAAAACGGGUGAACUUUGCUCACCUUCUUCGCUUGCUUAGCAACCGGGUCCGAUUUCGCCAGUUUUGGUGGUUCUAAAGCAGUUUUCAACGGAUAAUCACCGAAGAAAUUGGCGGGUAACGUCGUGGAUCUUUGCAUCUUCGGUUCUGAUGAGGAUUGAUCCUUGAUUAGUUGAUCAUAUCCGCGGUGGUUUCUUCUUGUGCUCAGUGAUCUGAACAUGCUUGAAUUCAAUUGAAUUGUAGAGAAAGAGAGAGAGAGAGAGAGAGGAUAAGGUGUGGAUUGUAAUAAACGUUGAAAUGGUGAAAGGCGGUGGAGAUUUAAGAGAGGUUGAUUUGAACAUUUCUUGA
rnacentral:lncRNA from 1 species